rnacentral:rRNA from 2 species
UUAAGCGACUAAGCGUACACGGUGGAUGCCCUGGCAGUCAGAGGCGAUGAAGGACGUGCUAAUCUGCGAUAAGCGUCGGUAAGGUGAUAUGAACCGUUAUAACCGGCGAUUUCCGAAUGGGGAAACCCAGUGUGUUUCGACACACUAUCAUUAACUGAAUCCAUAGGUUAAUGAGGCGAACCGGGGGAACUGAAACAUCUAAGUACCCCGAGGAAAAGAAAUCAACCGAGAUUCCCCCAGUAGCGGCGAGCGAACGGGGAGCAGCCCAGAGCCUGAAUCAGUAUGUGUGUUAGUGGAAGCGUCUGGAAAGGCGCGCGAUACAGGGUGACAGCCCCGUACACAAAAAUGCACAUGCUGUGAGCUCGAUGAGUAGGGCGGGACACGUGGUAUCCUGUCUGAAUAUGGGGGGACCAUCCUCCAAGGCUAAAUACUCCUGACUGACCGAUAGUGAACCAGUACCGUGAGGGAAAGGCGAAAAGAACCCCGGCGAGGGGAGUGAAAAAGAACCUGAAACCGUGUACGUACAAGCAGUGGGAGCACGCUUAGGCGUGUGACUGCGUACCUUUUGUAUAAUGGGUCAGCGACUUAUAUUCUGUAGCAAGGUUAACCGAAUAGGGGAGCCGAAGGGAAACCGAGUCUUAACUGGGCGUUAAGUUGCAGGGUAUAGACCCGAAACCCGGUGAUCUAGCCAUGGGCAGGUUGAAGGUUGGGUAACACUAACUGGAGGACCGAACCGACUAAUGUUGAAAAAUUAGCGGAUGACUUGUGGCUGGGGGUGAAAGGCCAAUCAAACCGGGAGAUAGCUGGUUCUCCCCGAAAGCUAUUUAGGUAGCGCCUCGUGAAUUCAUCUCCGGGGGUAGAGCACUGUUUCGGCAAGGGGGUCAUCCCGACUUACCAACCCGAUGCAAACUGCGAAUACCGGAGAAUGUUAUCACGGGAGACACACGGCGGGUGCUAACGUCCGUCGUGAAGAGGGAAACAACCCAGACCGCCAGCUAAGGUCCCAAAGUCAUGGUUAAGUGGGAAACGAUGUGGGAAGGCCCAGACAGCCAGGAUGUUGGCUUAGAAGCAGCCAUCAUUUAAAGAAAGCGUAAUAGCUCACUGGUCGAGUCGGCCUGCGCGGAAGAUGUAACGGGGCUAAACCAUGCACCGAAGCUGCGGCAGCGACGCUGAUGCGUUGUUGGGUAGGGGAGCGUUCUGUAAGCCUGCGAAGGUGUGCUGUGAGGCAUGCUGGAGGUAUCAGAAGUGCGAAUGCUGACAUAAGUAACGAUAAAGCGGGUGAAAAGCCCGCUCGCCGGAAGACCAAGGGUUCCUGUCCAACGUUAAUCGGGGCAGGGUGAGUCGACCCCUAAGGCGAGGCCGAAAGGCGUAGUCGAUGGGAAACAGGUUAAUAUUCCUGUACUUGGUGUUACUGCGAAGGGGGGACGGAGAAGGCUAUGUUGGCCGGGCGACGGUUGUCCCGGUUUAAGCGUGUAGGCUGGUUUUCCAGGCAAAUCCGGAAAAUCAAGGCUGAGGCGUGAUGACGAGGCACUACGGUGCUGAAGCAACAAAUGCCCUGCUUCCAGGAAAAGCCUCUAAGCAUCAGGUAACAUCAAAUCGUACCCCAAACCGACACAGGUGGUCAGGUAGAGAAUACCAAGGCGCUUGAGAGAACUCGGGUGAAGGAACUAGGCAAAAUGGUGCCGUAACUUCGGGAGAAGGCACGCUGAUAUGUAGGUGAAGUCCCUCGCGGAUGGAGCUGAAAUCAGUCGAAGAUACCAGCUGGCUGCAACUGUUUAUUAAAAACACAGCACUGUGCAAACACGAAAGUGGACGUAUACGGUGUGACGCCUGCCCGGUGCCGGAAGGUUAAUUGAUGGGGUUAGCGCAAGCGAAGCUCUUGAUCGAAGCCCCGGUAAACGGCGGCCGUAACUAUAACGGUCCUAAGGUAGCGAAAUUCCUUGUCGGGUAAGUUCCGACCUGCACGAAUGGCGUAAUGAUGGCCAGGCUGUCUCCACCCGAGACUCAGUGAAAUUGAACUCGCUGUGAAGAUGCAGUGUACCCGCGGCAAGACGGAAAGACCCCGUGAACCUUUACUAUAGCUUGACACUGAACAUUGAGCCUUGAUGUGUAGGAUAGGUGGGAGGCUUUGAAGUGUGGACGCCAGUCUGCAUGGAGCCGACCUUGAAAUACCACCCUUUAAUGUUUGAUGUUCUAACGUUGACCCGUAAUCCGGGUUGCGGACAGUGUCUGGUGGGUAGUUUGACUGGGGCGGUCUCCUCCUAAAGAGUAACGGAGGAGCACGAAGGUUGGCUAAUCCUGGUCGGACAUCAGGAGGUUAGUGCAAUGGCAUAAGCCAGCUUGACUGCGAGCGUGACGGCGCGAGCAGGUGCGAAAGCAGGUCAUAGUGAUCCGGUGGUUCUGAAUGGAAGGGCCAUCGCUCAACGGAUAAAAGGUACUCCGGGGAUAACAGGCUGAUACCGCCCAAGAGUUCAUAUCGACGGCGGUGUUUGGCACCUCGAUGUCGGCUCAUCACAUCCUGGGGCUGAAGUAGGUCCCAAGGGUAUGGCUGUUCGCCAUUUAAAGUGGUACGCGAGCUGGGUUUAGAACGUCGUGAGACAGUUCGGUCCCUAUCUGCCGUGGGCGCUGGAGAACUGAGGGGGGCUGCUCCUAGUACGAGAGGACCGGAGUGGACGCAUCACUGGUGUUCGGGUUGUCAUGCCAAUGGCACUGCCCGGUAGCUAAAUGCGGAAGAGAUAAGUGCUGAAAGCAUCUAAGCACGAAACUUGCCCCGAGAUGAGUUCUCCCUGACUCCUUGAGAGUCCUGAAGGAACGUUGAAGACGACGACGUUGAUAGGCCGGGUGUGUAAGCGCAGCGAUGCGUUGAGCUAACCGGUACUAAUGAACCGUGAGGCUUAACCUU